rnacentral:lncRNA from 1 species
CAAAGUGUUGGAAUUACAGGCGUGAACCACCAUGCCUGGCCAGCUCUAUUUCUUUAAGCCUACAUGUUUUGCACUUGUUAAAAGUAUUUGAAUAUACAAUUACUCAGUUUCCCUUGUUUAUGCUUGAAUUUUGUAUAAUCUUAAAUAUUUUUUCCAAUCUAAGCUUUAUUUUAUCCCGUUUCUUCUAUAUUUGUAUAACUUUAGGUGGCUAUCUUCAUUGAAAAUUUUUUCUCAAAAGCCUUAAAAUAGAACAUAGUUCUUGGCAGCAAUUUAAAGUUAUUUGAGGAGAAGGGGAGACUUACAAUGAUGCUUCAAUUGAAGCAAACUAAAAAGUAAUGAAGCAAGACAGAGGAAAAAGCAGUAUUCACUUGAGCACAUCCCAAAAGAAUAACAUUUCAAAUGUAACUAGAAAAAAGAUUGCUGAAGUUUGCAAUACAGAAAUAAUUAUUAAGAUAGCUUUAAAGCCCUGCUCAGCUUUUGAAUGUUGGGAAUUGACCCAGAGGUGGCUGUAAACUAAGAUGGUUCCUUCAGUAAUGACCAUUUUUUCUUUUUCAAGAUGAUGAUUAUUCCCCACCUUCUAGGACACAAAGACCAACGAGCCACCACAGCCACCAGUCCCAGAACCCGCUAAUGCUGGGGAACGGAAAAUGAGGGAGUUCAACUCUGGCCCUCACAAUCCAGUGGAGGAGACGAAACUCAUCUGCCUCUGUCCCUCUGGGCACGCCUCAUGCCAGGUGCAUCUGUGGACAGGGGCCAUGCUCCUGGGCUUCCAAAGUUGGAGAAAGCUGCCAGGCUCAGAGCCACCUAAGCUGAAGAUUCCCUUGAGAACAAGUACUGUCCUGCGGUUUCAUGGCCUUUCUUCCAUUUGUGGUUCUUGCGAAGUGGAAUUUAAAUGACAUCUUAUCAAGAUCGAUAAAUACUAGUUUCCCAGUGCUGGAAUAUAGAAAAUGGAUGGACAAGUAAAUCCCACUCAGCACCCAUAGUCCAGGCAUGGGGACCUCAACACACCUGAGCCCCAAACAUCACCUUUCAUUCUGGACCUACCAUGAAAGACUUCUGAAUCCAGGAAGAGAAACUGACUGGGCAACAUGUUAUUCAGAAACAGGACCUUGCCCUGUCACUCAGGAUGGAGUUCAAUGGUCCUAUCAUGGCUCAUUAUAGCCUUAAACUCCCAGGCUCAAGCAAUCCUACCAUGUCAGCCUUCCCAGUAGCUGGGACUACAGCUGGAGUACAGUGGCACAACCU